rnacentral:tRNA from 3 species
GCGCCCGUAGCUCAUCUGGAUAGAGCGCGAGACUUCUAAUCUUGAGGUAGCAGGUUCGAGUCCUGCCGGGCGCACCA